rnacentral:rRNA from 1 species
CCUACGGGAGGCAGCAGUGGGGAAUAUUGCACAAUGGGGGAAACCCUGAUGCAGCGACGCCGCGUGAGUGAAGAAGUAUUUCGGUAUGUAAAGCUCUAUCAGCAGGGAAGAAAAUGACGGUACCUGAUUAAGAAGCACCGGCGAACUACGUGCCAGCAGCCGCGGGAAUACGUAGGGGGCAAGCGUUAUCCGGAUUUACUGGGUGUAAAGGGAGCGUAGACGGCAGCACAAGUCUGGAGUGAAAUGCCGGGGCUUAACCCCGGAACUGCUUUGGAAACUGUGCAGCUAGAGUGCAGGAGAGGUAAGUGGAAUUCCUAGUGUAGCGGUGAAAUGCGUAGAUAUUAGGAGGAACACCAGUGGCGAAGGCGGCUUACUGGACUGUAACUGACGUUGAGGCUCGAAAGCGUGGGGAGCAAACAGGAUUAGAUACCCGAGUAGUC